ACGGAAGGCAGCAGUGGGGAAUAUUGGGCAAUGGGCGCAAGCCUGACCCAGCAACGCCGCGUGAAGGAAGAAGGCUUUCGGGUUGUAAACUUCUUUUACCAGGGACGAAGGACGUGACGGUACCUGGAGAAAAAGCCACGGCUAACUACGUGCCAGCAGCCGCGGUAAUACGUAGGUGGCAAGCGUUGUCCGGAUUUACUGGGUGUAAAGGGCGUGUAGGCGGAGAUGCAAGUCAGGAGUGAAAUCUAUGGGCUCAACCCAUAAAUUGCUUUUGAAACUGUAUCCCUUGAGUAUCGGAGAGGCAGGCGGAAUUCCUAGUGUAGCGGUGAAAUGCGUAGAUAUUAGGAGGAACACCAGUGGCGAAGGCGGCCUGCUGGGCUUUAACUGACGCUGAGGCUCGAAAGUGUGGGGAGCAAACAGGAUUAGAUACCCUGGUA
rnacentral:rRNA from 1 species